rnacentral:piRNA from 1 species
UAGCCUGAAGAGUCUGAACUCACGUUGGC